rnacentral:rRNA from 1 species
UCGAUUUGGAGUUUGUUGCCCUGAGUGAUGGGCUCCGAAGCUAACGCGAUAAAUCGACCGCCUGGGGAGUACGGCCGCAAGGUUAAAACUCAAAUGAAUUGACGGGGGCCCGCACAAGCGGUGGAGCAUGUGGUUUAAUUCGAUGCAACGCGAAGAACCUUACCUGGUCUUGACAUCCACAGAAUCUUGCAGAGAUGCGAGAGUGCCUUCGGGAACUGUGAGACAGGUGCUGCAUGGCUGUCGUCAGCUCGUGUUGUGAAAUGUUGGGUUAAGUCCCGCAACGAGCGCAACCCUUAUCCUUUGUUGCCAGCGAUUAGGUCGGGAACUCAAAGGAGACUGCCGUUGAUAAAGCGGAGGAAGGUGGGGACGACGUCAAGUCAUCAUGGCCCUUACGACCAGGGCUACACGCGUGCUACAAUGGCGUAUACAAAGGGAGGCGACCUCGCGAGAGCAAGCGGACCUCAUAAAGUACGUCUAAGUCCGGAUUGGAGUCUGCAACUCGACUCCAUGAAGUCGGAAUCGCUAGUAAUCGUGAAUCAGAAUGUCACGGUGAAUACGUUCCCGGGCCU